rnacentral:rRNA from 1 species
GACGAACGCUGGCGGCGUGCCUAAUACAUGCAAGUCGAGCGGACUGAAUGGGAGCUUGCUCUUGUUCGGUCAGCGGCGGACGGGUGAGUAACACGUGGGCAACCUGCCCGCAAGACCGGGAUAACUCCGGGAAACCGGAGCUAAUACCGGAUAACACCGAAGACCGCAUGGUCUUUGGUCGAAAGGCGGCGCAAGCUGCCACUUGCGGAUGGGCCCGCGGCGCAUUAGCUAGUUGGUGAGGUAACGGCUCACCAAGGCGACGAUGCGUAGCCGGCCUGAGAGGGUGACCGGCCACACUGGGACUGAGACACGGCCCAGACUCCUACGGGAGGCAGCAGUAGGGAAUCUUCCGCAAUGGGCGAAAGCCUGACGGAGCGACGCCGCGUGAGCGAAGAAGGCCUUCGGGUCGUAAAGCUCUGUUGUGAGGGACGAAGGAGCGCCGUUUGAAGAAGGCGGCGCGGUGACGGUACCUCACGAGGAAGCCCCGGCUAACUACGUG